rnacentral:lncRNA from 1 species
UCACCUCAACAAAUAAAAAAUAAAAAUAUAUAAUUUUAAGAAAUUAAGAAUUAAAAAUAAAUCUUACUAAUUGUCUGUGCCGUUUGUGUUAUCCUCAUCAUUAGAUUCAGUAUCACGUCUUCCUCUGUCCUGAAGUCUCGUCUCCACAUCCAGCUAAUCUUUAAAGCAGAGUAGCAUCUCAAUUAUCUCGUUCGUCAUUCCACUUCUCUUUUUAUCCAGAAUGCACCGAUCUGUACUAAAAGCUGAUUUCGAUCUACUAUAGACAUUGGCACAACUAAAAUAUCAUGUACAAUUACAGACAUAACAGAGUAUUGAUUUUUUAUAUUCUUCCAUCAGGCCAAUACAUCAAGAUUUUUUAUUUGAUUUUCAUCUAAUGCAGAGGAGAUUUUAUUUCGUAAAUAAAAUUCUAAUUCGUUGCUUAAAGAUGAAGAAGAUACCGAUGAAGAAGAUGCAUGUGAAUGUCUCCUAUAUGUAAGAAAUGAAAAAACAGAUGAUGAACG